rnacentral:rRNA from 1 species
AGUGAACGCUGGCGGUAGGCCUAACACAUGCAAGUUGAACGGCAGCACAGUAAGAGCUUGCUCUUACGGGUGGCGAGUGGCGGACGGGUGAGGAAUACAUCGGAAUCUACUUUUUCGUGGGGGAUAACGUAGGGAAACUUACGCUAAUACCGCAUACGACCUACGGGUGGAAGCAGGGGAUCUUCGGACCUUGCGCGAUUGAAUGAGCCGAUGUCGGAUUAGCUAGUUGGCGGGGUAAAGGCCCACCAAGGCGACGAUCCGUAGCUGGUCUGAGAGGAUGAUCAGCCACACUGGAACUGAGACACGGUCCAGACUCCUACGGGAGGCAGCAGUGGGGAAUAUUGGACAAUGGGCGCAAGCCUGAUCCAGCCAUACCGCGUGGGUGAAGAAGGCCUUCGGGUUGUAAAGCCCUUUUGUUGGGAAAGAAAAGCAGCAGGUUAAUACCCCGCUGUUCUGACGGUACCCAAAGAAUAAGCACCGGCUAACUUCGUG